CCUGCCCGAGUGCCAUGCUCGUCUCAGUCACUAGCUAGGAGCAGCCUGGGAGUGGCAUUGCCUCAACACAAACGUGGUGGUGGAUUUUGGAGCAUGGCAGCUGCUGCCAGAGAUCCAAGAGGUAAGAAUUGUGACAAAGGCCAGUCUUUUUUCAUUGACGCCCCAGAUUCCCCAGCCACGUUAGCCUACAGAAGUAUAAUUCAGAGAAUCCAAGAGUUUUGUAAUCUCCAUCAGUCAAAAGAAGAGAACCUCAUCAGUUCCUGAAAUGAGAGAAUGUUCAGGACCAAGCAGUUACCGAGCGAGGCACUCACUGGGCAGCACAUCCAGCCAGACCCGACCAGCUCCAGGAUGGGGUGGGUCACAGCAAAAAGGGACCAGAUGCUAGUGUGGUCCGAAGCCACUUUCUCAGAGACACUUUAAUCAUUGAGUAUUUGUACACUUUUCUUUAGAACAUAUAUAAAGGGCAUUCUCUAC
rnacentral:sRNA from 1 species